UACAGAGGGUGCAAGCGUUGUUCGGAUUUACUGGGCGUAAAGCGCGUGUAGGCGGUGGCGUAAGUCGGAUGUGAAAUCCCUCGGCUUAACCGAGGAACUGCCGUCCAAACUGCUUCGCUUGAGACCGGGAGAGGUGAGUGGAAUUCCCAGUGUAGCGGUGAAAUGCGUAGAUAUUGGGAGGAACACCAGUGGCGAAGGCGGCUCACUGGACUGGUACUGACGCUGAGGCGCGAAAGCGUGGGGAGCAAACGGG
rnacentral:rRNA from 1 species